AAGAACUUAGUAAACCUAAAUACCCUCACAUAGAGAGGUCGAUGAUUUGAUUGAGAUAUUGACCCUAGUUGUAGGGCAUCCUCACUUGGAGAAGAUUUGAUUGGGUUGUUGACCCUAGUUGUAGGGCAUCCUCACUUGGAGAGGAUUUGAUUGGGUUGUUGACCCUAGUUGUAGGGCAUCCUCACUUGGAGAGGAUUUGAUUGGGUUGUUGACCCUAGUUGUAGGGCAUCCUCACUUGGAGAGGAUUUGAUUGGGUUGUUGACCCUAGUUGUAGGGCAUCCUCACUUGGAGAGGAUUUGAUUGGGUUGUUGACCCUAGUUGUAGGGCAUCCUCACUUGGAGAGGAUUUGAUUGGGUUGUUGACCCUAGUUGUAGGGCAUCCUCACUUGGAGAGGAUUUGAUUGGGUUGUUGACCCUAGUUGUAGGGCAUCCUCACUUGGAGAGGAUUUGAUUGGGUUGUUGACCCUAGUUGUAGGGCAUCCUCACUUGGAGAGGAUUUGAUUGGGUUGUUGACCCUAGUUGUAGGGUAUCCUCACUUGGAGAGGAUAGAUCUAGCUCACAGUCUGCUUUUGGGGUGGUAUAGCCAUCCAUAUCCCCACAUGGAGGGGAUUGUCGUCGAGUACUCCGGAGUGUCGGGCGAUUAGGACCACUUGGAGGUCCGGACCACAUGGAGGUCCGCAGACGGUCCCGGGCUUGGGUGCACUUGGAGCUCCCUCCCCACUUUGGGAUUGAAAGGUGAGUUAUUGGCGAACCCUAGGGCUUCGCUACAGAUUGGGUAAAAGAACAGUGAACAAUGUCAUUGAACAUUAUUAUUCGAACAUGGAUCGAAUUUGUUA
rnacentral:lncRNA from 1 species